rnacentral:rRNA from 1 species
CCUACGGGGAGCAGCAGUGAGGAAUAUUGGUCAAUGGCCGCAGGGCUGAACCAGCCAAGUCGCGUGAGGGAUGACGGUCCUAUGGAUUGUAAACCUCUUUUGUCAGGGAGCAAAGGGCGCCACGUGUGGCGCUUUGCGAGUACCUGAAGAAAAAGCAUCGGCUAACUCCGUGCCAGCAGCCGCGGUAAUACGGAGGAUGCGAGCGUUAUCCGGAUUUAUUGGGUUAAAAGGGUGCGCAGGCGGAAUGUCAAGUCAGCGGUAAAAUUUCGGGGCUCAACCCCGUCGUGCCGUUGAAACUGGCGUUCUUGAGUGAGCGAGAAGUAUGCGGAAUGCGUGGUGUAGCGGUGAAAUGCAUAGAUAUCACGCAGAACUCCGAUUGCGAAGGCAGCAUACCGGCGCUCAACUGACGCUCAUGCACGAAAGCGUGGGUAUCGAACAGGAUUAGAUACCCGAGUAGUC